CCCCAAAAGCGGAGGAAAAGAAACUAACAAGGAUUCCCCUAGUAACUGCGAGUGAAGCGGGAAAAGCUCAAAUUUAAAAUCUGGUGGUCUUUGGCCAUCCGAAUUGUAAUCUAGAGAAGUGUUAUCCGCGCUGGACCGUGUACAAGUCUCCUGGAAUGGAGCGUCAUAGAGGGUGAGAAUCCCGUCUUUGACACGGACUACCAGGGCUUUGUGAUACACUCUCAACGAGUCGAGUUGUUUGGGAAUGCAGCUCAAAAUGGGUGGUAAAUUCCAUCUAAAGCUAAAUAUUGGCGAGAGACCGAUAGCGAACAAGUACCGUGAGGGAAAGAUGAAAAGAACUUUGGAAAGAGAGUUAAACAGUACGUGAAAUUGUUGAAAGGGAAACGCUUGAAGUCAGUCGCGUCUUUCAGAAAUCAACCUUACUUUUGUAUGGUGUACUUUCUGAUAGAUGGGUCAGCAUCAGUUUUGGUUGCUGGAUAAAGGUUAGAGAAAUGUGGCAUCUUCGGGUGUGUUAUAGUCUCUAAUCAUAUACAGUGGCUGGGACUGAGGAACUCAGCACGCCGUAAGGCCGGGGCUUUUGCUCACGUUCGUGCUUAGGAUGCUGGCAAAAUGGCUUUAAUCGACCCGUCUUGAAACACGGCCAAGGGAAGUCA
rnacentral:rRNA from 1 species